UGUGACGUUACCAAACUGUUGCCUCGGCGGGGUCACGCCCCGGGUGCGUCGCAGCCCCGGAACCAGGCGCCCGCCGGAGGAACCAACCAAACUCUUUCUGUAGUCCCCUCGCGGACGUAUUUCUUACAGCUCUGAGCAAAAAUUCAAAAUGAAUCAAAACUUUCAACAACGGAUCUCUUGGUUCUGGCAUCGAUGAAGAACGCAGCGAAAUGCGAUAAGUAAUGUGAAUUGCAGAAUUCAGUGAAUCAUCGAAUCUUUGAACGCACAUUGCGCCCGCCAGUAUUCUGGCGGGCAUGCCUGUCCGAGCGUCAUUUCAACCCUCGAACCCCUCCGGGGGAUCGGCGUUGGGGAUCGGGACCCCUCACACGGGUGCCGGCCCCUAAAUACAGUGGCGGUCUCGCCGCAGCCUCUCCUGCGCAGUAGUUUGCACAACUCGCACCGGGAGCGCGGCGCGCCCACGUCCGUAAAACACCCAACUUUCUGAAAUGUUGACCUCGGAUCAGGUAGGAAUACCCGCUGAACUUAAGCAUAUCAU
rnacentral:rRNA from 1 species